rnacentral:rRNA from 1 species
UACGGGGGGGGGCAAGCGUUGUUCGGAAUUACUGGGCGUAAAGGGCCCGUAGGCGGCCAACUAAGUCAGACGUGAAAUCCCUCGGCUUAACCGGGGAACUGCGUCUGAUACUGGAUGGCUUGAGUUCGGGAGAGGGAUGCGGAAUUCCAGGUGUAGCGGUGAAAUGCGUAGAUAUCUGGAGGAACACCGGUGGCGAAGGCGGCAUCCUGGACCGACACUGACGCUGAGGAGCGAAAGCCAGGGGAGC